GCCAGCAUGGCAUAGUGGUUUGAGUGUUGGAUUAUGACUAUGGAGAUCCUGGGUUUGAUUCCCUGCUCGGCCA